AGCUAGAUACUGGGAAUACAAUUGUGGGUGCUACAAACACCAUCCCUGCUCAUAAUGUAGAGGGAGAGACAGCCCCUCUCACAUCUUCAUAAAGACGUGUGCAACUCCAAUGAUUUCAAGUGAUAUGAAGUAGCAGAUAGAUGAUACCACUAAAGCAUAUUUUUAUUUUAUUCAGCUAAUGCUCACAGGGUACAUACAAUAUACCAGGCACUGUUUCAAGCACUUUUCAAAUAUUAACUAAUUUAAUACUCCUAACAACCCUAGGAGGGAAGCAUUGCAUUGAUCCCAUUUUACAGAUGACAAAACUGAGGCACAGUACAUUAAGUUGUUUAUAAACACACAGUUGGUGUAUGGCAAAGGCAGAUUUGGAGCCCGUGCAAUCUAGUCCUGGGGGUUCUAUUCUGAACCUCUCGGCUUGCUGCAAAAUAAUGAGGAUAUUUACCUCACUAUGAGAAUCAAAGGAAGGCUUCCCUGAGGAAGUGUGAAUGGAGCUGAGAUAAGGAAGAAGAGGAGAUGUUAAAAGUGCACGAGGGUGCGGGUUGGAGGUGUAAGUGUCCUGAGAAAGAAAGAAGGACCGCGUUUCGUAGUUCAAAAGCCAAAAAUCUGCCUUACCCUCUAUAAACUAACUGCAGGGUUCUGCUCCUCAAGACAGGCUAAGUGGCACAGCGGCUGCGCUGGCACACAGCCACAGGGGGGAGGUGGCGAGACAGUGAGGUGCUCUGUAUGGUGGGUGGUCCCCUGAGGGAGGUCAUGCUUGUCACUCCAACUCAUCCAGCCCUGAUGGAUGGAACUGGGGUGACGGGGUGCUACUGCGGAAUUGUGGUUAACACAUCCCCAAAUGUCUCCACAAGGCCUGUGAGUGUGCCUGUGUGUGUGCCUGUGUGUGUGCAAGUGUGCAUGCAUGAGUUUGUGAGUGUGUAUGUGUGUGUGCAUGUGUGUUUGAGUGGCAAGUGUGUAUGCAUAAGCAUGUGUGAGAGCUUGUGUGUUCAUGUGUGUGUGUGUGAGUGUGUUUGUGAGUGUGCAUGCAGUCAGACAGUUUAGGGCUAUGCUGUCUUCUAUGUCACAGCAAAGAUUCUCAAGCAAUAAUGACACUGGUCAUUUGGAAGGCUCCCAGCUGGGUCCUGCCCAUUUUCAUCCUAAUGAAAUUGUCAUCCAAGCAGCUUUGGCCCAGGUGCUAAGAAUAUGGCAUAGAAGAUAAAAAGCCCAGGCAUGGUGGCUCACGCCUGUAAUCCCAACAAUUUGGAGGCUGAAGUGGGCAGAUGGCUUGAGCCCAGGGGUUCAAGACCAGCCCAGGUGGGCAACAUGGUGAAACCCCGUCUCUACUAAAAAAAAAAAUACAAAAAUUUGUCUCAAAAAAAAAAAACUUACAAACAUUAGCCAGGUGUGGUAUGCCUGUAGUCCCAGCUACUCAGAAGGCUUGAGGUGAGAGGAUCACCUGAGCCCUGGAGGUCAAGGCUGCAGAGAGAUGUAAUCAUGCCACUGCACUCCAGCUUGGAUGACAGAGUGAGACUGUGUGUGUGUGUGUGUAAAAUAAGUCAGAAUAAUAAGUGCUAUGGGAAAAAGUAAAGCAGAGUAAGGGAAGAGGGAGGAAGACUGUUUUAGACAGGAGAAGGGCAUGGAGAGAUUCUCUGAGCAGAUCCUAGCAUGAAGAGAAGGAGCAAGACCAAUGGCCAUCUAAAAUGAAAAUAUCCCAGGCCGUGGGAAUGGUGACUGCAGAGGCCCUGAGGUGGGGACAUGCAGGCAUGCCGGAGGAGCUGAGG
rnacentral:lncRNA from 1 species